ACCUAUUCCUUUUUCAUUCACCAGCAUCUCUUCCAAUUUUUCUUCACCAACGCCCUCCUCCUCUGAAAUUUAACGACAUUUUCGCCUGGAAGAAUUAAGGCUACGGGUCUCAGGUGAGAUGCGCACAUUCUCUCUUUAUCCGCGAUGCAUAUGGAAUUCAAGAUUUGAUUAGGAGCUUCCAUUCUCAGAUUUCUGCAUCAGAAAUCUAGGACAUUUCCACAAAAAUACAUCUUCUUGGUUCACUGUCCAGGUAAAGUUUUACUUCUAUGUGUAUGUAUCAUGUCCGGAUUUUCCUAGUUGUUGGCCGUUUGGUUUAAAUUGAAAAUCCCUAGCUGAAUCGAGGAGUGAUAAAAAUGAAAAUGAUGGAGCACUUACAAGAAUUCUCUAUGUGCUCAAGAGAGUUCAAUGUGCAUUGUUUGAUAUUUUUAUGUUUUAUCUUUGUUCAGUACUUCUCCCUCUCUAGAUUCUCAUCCUCUCCUUACGGCUAUCUCAAAGAGAUGACACCCCCAAAGCAGUAAUCAUUACUUGACAGCAGCAAGGAACUUUUGGGUCCUCCUAGGGGCUCAUUGGCUCAUCUUCCUAUCAAGUUAGAGUGCAUUGAGUUGGGCCUUUGGAUGUUAGAAAAAGAUAUUCGUGAUAAUGAAAGCUAAGUUGCUGCAACUUGGAGGCAAGGAACUAUUUUCUGUGUUGAAAAUUCAAGAUAAUGAAAGCUAAAUUUUUGUAGGAUGUAAUGGACAAGAACUAAUAGCUAUUAGGAAGAUUACAUACUUUGUAAUUGGUAUUUACUGAGUGAGUGAAGAGACAAGGCAGUUGCAAUAUGUAGUUAUAAAUUUUUACUUUAAAUGUUAUGAUUAAUUAAAGCAUUGUUGUUGUACCUCUUUGU